AAGCCGGUAGCGGGGAGGAUUCUGAGCCCUUAGAGGGUUAAGUUAUUGUAUUUUUCAGUUUUUAUGUUUAUUUCUAUUGUAUUUUGACUUUGGUUUUGUACUGUUGGGGUGUUUUGUCCCCCAUGAACAAUUUUAUAUUUUGAAGUAUUAUUAUUAUUUAUGUUUUGAAUUUUGUUUGUUUUAAUAAAUUUUUGGUUGAUUGAGUGGCAAACCUUCUAGAUUGGUUGCUCCUCAAAGAAGUACCCAAUGAAGGUGCAUCCGAGCUUGGAUGGCAAUGAUAAGAAUAAACAAGUGAAUAUGGCUAAGGUACAUGGUUACCUCCGGCUAGAAUUUUAGAAUGCAUUAAGAACUUUACUCUUUUUGGUAAAUUGAAUAUUGUCUUUUUGCAACAUAAUUGAAUGAAUGUUUCAUCUAGAACUUAAAACCACAAAUUGUGAGGAAACCUCCAUUGUACACUUAAAUGCUGGAUUCUAAUAAGUUUUGUUGAUUCAUUUGAUUCAUGCUUUGUCUUUUAUUAUUGUGAAUAUGUGGAAGCAAUUAGAAAUGAUC
rnacentral:lncRNA from 1 species